GAUGAACGCUGGCGGCGUGCCUAAUACAUGCAAGUCGAGCGAACGGACGAGGAGCUUGCUCUUCUGAUGUUAGCGGCGGACGGGUGAUUAACACGUGGAUAACCUACCUAUAAGACUGGGAUAACAUCGGGAAACCGUAUCUAAUACCGGAUAAUAUUUUGAACCGCAUGGGUCAAAAGUGAAAGACGGUCUUGCUGUCACUAAAAGAUUACUCCGCGCUGCAUUCGCUAGUUGGUAAGGUAACGGCUUAACAAGGCAACGAUGCAGAGCCGCCCUGAACGGGAGGUCCGCCACACGGGAUGUGAGAAUCGGCCGCGACACUGAGGCGAGGCAGCAGUAGGGACUCCUCCGCGAUGCGGCAGUGCCUGACGGUGCAAAGUCGCGUGAGUCAUGAACCUCUUCUGCUCGUAAAGCGAUGUUAUUAGGAGAGAAGAUAUGUGUAAGUAACCGUGCACAUAUUGACGGUACCUAAUCAGUAAGCCCCGGCUAACUCCGUG
rnacentral:rRNA from 1 species